UACGUAGGGGCUAGCGUUAUCCGGAAUUACUGGGCGUAAAGGGUGCGUAGGUGGUUUCUUAAGUCAGAGGUGAAAGGCUACGGCUCAACCGUAGUAAGCCUUUGAAACUGGGAAACUUGAGUGCAGGAGAGGAGAGUGGAAUUCCUAGUGUAGCGGUGAAAUGCGUAGAUAUUAGGAGGAACACCAGUUGCGAAGGCGGCUCUCUGGACUGUAACUGACACUGAGGCACGAAAGCGUGGGUAGCAAACAGGAUUAGAUACCCGGGUAGUCCCUGAGCGGG
rnacentral:rRNA from 1 species